rnacentral:rRNA from 1 species
AACGAACGCUGGCGGCAGGCCUAACACAUGCAAGUCGAACGCGUGUAGCAAUACACGAGUGGCGCACGGGUGAGUAACACGUGGGAAUCAACCCAGAGGUUCGGAAUAACCGCGGGAAACUGCGGCUAAUACCGGAUAUCCCCUACGGGGGAAAGAUUUAUCGCCUUUGGACGAGCCCGCGUCCGAUUAGCUAGUUGGUGAGGUAACGGCUCACCAAGGCUACGAUCGGUAGCUGGUCUGAGAGGAUGACCAGCCACACUGGAACUGAGAUACGGUCCAGACUCCUACGGGAGGCAGCAGUGGGGAAUAUUGGGCAAUGGAGGCAACUCUGACCCAGCCAUGCCGCGUGGGUGACGAAGGUCUUCGGAUUGUAAAGCCCUUUCGGCGGGGACGAUGAUGACGGUACCCGCAGAAGAAGCCCCGGCUAACUUCGUGCCAGCCGCCGCCGUAAUAC